rnacentral:tRNA from 1 species
GAGAGGGGUAAGUUAAAGACUAAACUAUAUGGUUCAUGUUCAUAAAAUACAGCUUUGUUCCCUCUU